rnacentral:tRNA from 1 species
GGCUAGAUGGCAGAAUGGGUUUAUGCGCAAGAUUGCAAAUCUUUAAAUAUUGGUUCAAUUCCAAUUCUAGCUU